rnacentral:lncRNA from 13 species
GUGCUUUAUCUUUCUAAGGACAAUGAUUCUAAACCAAUGUUGUAACCAGCAGGAGCAGAAGAGUGUCAUAAACUAAGGAAUUCUAAGUAAUUCAUCGAUGAGCAUGGAAAUAAUGUUUUAAAACUGAAGUCAGAAGCAGCUGCUACGGGAAGGUUUUUUUAAAAAGAGUCACAGACAACAGUCAUGUUAUUUCAGGACCCUGAAUUUAGCAGCAACCCACCUUCAAACAGCAGCCACUGACGAUGCAAGGAUGCAGAGCAGCAGGAGGAAAGAGGAUGGAUCUCUGAGUGACUCUGUGGAGCAGAGCUGCCCUGCCGUCCUGAACAACAUACCUCUUAAUUUUUAGGUAAGAGAGAUAAACUUCAUUCCUUAAACCACUCCUUUUUUUAUGGUAGCUCCU